GAAUUCUCAACCAUGUCUCGAUCGAUUUCGAGGCCAUGGCUUGGACUUGGGGGUUGCUGGCGGCGCAAUGCUGUCGGCUCUCCUGAAAUGCAUUAGCAAAAGGGGCUGCAAGUCUUUGGACGUGCACGGCCUUUCGACGUGAUAAUGAUCGUCGUGGCUGGAGCGUUCGGACGUGUGCAUGAACGGACCCAAUGUUGCUUCCAAUUCCUAAUCCCAAGUCUAGAGUCACUCAGCUACUAGUCAGGUCGUGAGGCCGACGAACGUUGGGUGGCCAAGGUUUGGCUAUUUCGAA
rnacentral:misc_RNA from 1 species